UUAGCCUCUGAGGAAGAUGGAUGCUUGAAUCCACAGCUCCCUCUCCCCAAAUCACUUAAUCCGCUAACAUCAGUGACUCUCACGUCUCCUAUCCAUCAAUUCCGACCCCACAACCCUCCCAGAGCCUAGUACAUACCCCACGAAGAUGGGUAGCGGAGAAAAGAUGAAAGACAACACACCAUAGGUUGCCUCACUGUUCCGCACUCCAAGAGACACGCAGAGGCCUACCAACUCCC